rnacentral:rRNA from 1 species
GUCUACAGCCGUGUAAUCCUGAACAAGCCCAAUCCCAUCUGAUCUCAGAAGCUAAGUAGGGUCAGGCCUGGUUAGUACUUGGUUGGGAGACCACCUAAGAAGGUGCUGUAGGCA